rnacentral:rRNA from 1 species
CGUAGGGUGCGAGCGUUGUCCGGAAUUAUUGGGCGUAAAGGGCUCGUAGGCGGUUUGUCGCGUCGGGAGUGAAAACUCGGAGCUUAACUCCGAGCCUGCUUCCGAUACGGGCAGACUAGAGGUAUGCAGGGGAGAACGGAAUUCCUGGUGUAGCGGUGAAAUGCGCAGAUAUCAGGAGGAACACCGGUGGCGAAGGCGGUUCUCUGGGCAUUACCUGACGCUGAGGAGCGAAAGUGUGGGGAGCGAACAGGAUUAGAUACCCUGGUAGUCCACACCGUAAACGUUGGGCGCUAAGGUGUGGGGACACAUUCCACGUGUUCCGUGCCGCAGCUAACGCAUUAAGCGCCCCGCCUGGGGAGUACGGCCGCAAGGCUAA